ensembl:rRNA 5S_rRNA 5S ribosomal RNA
GAAUAGUUUAUAACCACCCUGAAUGCGUCCAGUCUUGUCUGAUCUUGGAAGCUAAACAGGAUUGGGCCUGGUUAGCACUCGGAUAGGAAAAUGGAUGAAUGAAUUGUAUUGUAUUCA